rnacentral:ncRNA from 1 species
CAAAGGUUUGGUCCUGACUUUACUGUCAGCUCUAGCUAGAUUUACACAUGCAAGUAUCCGCCCCCCUGUGAGGAUGCCCUUAGUGCCCUUCUUGAGCACAAGGAGCUGGUAUCAGGCACACAACAACCGCUAGCCCACGACACCUUGCUUAGCCACACCCCCAAGGGAAUCCAGCAGUGAUAAAUAUUAAGCCAUAAGUGAAAACUUGACUUAGUUAAAGUUAAGAGAGCCGGUAAAACUCGUGCCAGCCACCGCGGUUAUACGAGAGGCUCAAGUUGACAGACAACGGCGUAAAGAGUGGUUAAGGAAAAUACCUAACUAAAGCGGAACACCCUCACAGCUGUUAUACGCUUCCGAGGGCAUGAACCCCAACUACGAAGGUGGCUUUACAUUACCUGAACCCACGAAAGCUAAGAAACAAACUGGGAUUAGAUACCCCACUAUGCUUAGCCCUAAACAUUGAUCGUUUACCACAUCAAACAUCCGCCCGGGAAUUACGAACACUAGUUUAAAACCCAAAGGACUUGGCGGUGCUUAACAUCCACCUAGAGGAGCCUGUUCUAGAACCGAUAACCCCCGUUAAACCUCACCCUCCCUGGUUUUAUCCCGCCUAUAUACCACCGUCGCCAGCUUACCCUGUGAAGGUCUAAUAGUAAGCACAAUUGGCAUAGCCCAAAACGUCAGGUCGAGGUGUAGUGCAUGAGAGGGGAAGAAAUGGGCUACAUUCGCUGUCAUCAGCGAACACGAAUGAUGCAUUGAAAUAUGCAGCUGAAGGAGGAUUUAGCAGUAAGCAGGAAACAGAGUGUUCUGCUGAAACCGGCUCUUAAGCGCGCACACACCGCCCGUCACCCUCCCCAAGCACCUGGACCUAAAUUUUCUUUAAACCUAAACAAACGCGAAGGAGAGGAAAGUCGUAACAUGGUAAGCGUACCGGAAGGUGCGCUUGGUCAAAC